CCUACGGGGGGCUGCAGUGAGGAAUAUUGGUCAAUGGGCGAGAGCCUGAACCAGCCAAGUCGCGUGAGGGAGUACUGCCCUAUGGGUUGUAAACUUCUUUUAAGGGGGAAGAGCAGAAGACGGUACCCCUUUAAUAAGCCACGGCUAACUACGUGCCAGCAGCCGCGGUAAUACGUAGGUGGCAAGCGUUGUCCGGAUUUACUGGGUGUAAAGGGCGUGCAGCCGGAGAGGCAAGUCAGAUGUGAAAUCCGCGGGCUCAACUCGCGAACUGCAUUUGAAACUGCUUCCCUUGAGUAUCGGAGAGGUAAUCGGAAUUCCUAGUGUAGCGGUGAAAUGCGUAGAUAUUAGGAAGAACACCAGUGGCGAAGGCGGAUUACUGGACGACAACUGACGGUGAGGCGCGAAAGCGUGGGGAGCAAACAGGAUUAGAUACCCGAGUAGUC
rnacentral:rRNA from 1 species